rnacentral:lncRNA from 1 species
UGCAUACUGUACAUGUACACCAGGGCUCGAAUUACCCACCGGCAAUCGGCAAUUUGCCGCAAUGCCCCUCUCACUGGCCGGAAUGCCCUUUUCAAAAUCAAACCGUUUACGGCCACAAUAUUUUAAUCCACAAAAGUUUUGCCGACAUUAUAGUCAUCGUAAGCCAACCCGACUUGUAAUGUUAAAAAAGGUUUUGUUGCCCAUACGGAGCUCUAAAAACAAUGAUAGUCGGCAAGGUUUUGUUGCCCCUCCG